rnacentral:misc_RNA from 1 species
GAUGAAGAACGUAGCGAAAUGCGAUAAGUAAUGUGAAUUGCAGAAUUCAGUGAAUCAUCGAAUCUUUGAACGCACAUUGCGCCCGCCAGCAUUCUGGCGGGCAUGCCUGUUCGAGCGUCAUUUCGACCCUCGAGCCCCCCCGGGGGCCUCGGUGUUGGGGGACGGCACACCAGCCGCCCCCGAAAUGCAGUGGCGACCCCGCCGCAGCCUCCCCUGCGUAGUAGCACACACCUCGCACCGGAGCGCGGAGGCGGUCACGCCGUAAAACGCCCAACUUUCUUAGAGUUGACCUCGGAUCAGGUAGGAAUACCCGCUGAACUUAAGCAUAUCAAUAAGCGGAGGA